rnacentral:rRNA from 1 species
UACGUAGGGUGCGAGCGUUGUCCGGAAUUAUUGGGCGUAAAGAGCUCGUAGGCGGUUUGUUGCGUCGGCCGUGAAACCUGCAGCUUAACUGUGGGCCUGCGGCCGAUACGGGCAGACUUGGAGUUCGGUAGGGGAGACUGGAAUUCCUGGUGUAGCGGUGAAAUGCGCAGAUAUCAGGAGGAACACCAAUGGCGAAGGCAGCUCGCUGGGACGGUACUGACGCUGAGGCGCGAAAGCGUGGGGAGCAAACAGG